UGUUUCAGUCCUCAUAGUUUCUAUAAGAACGCUUCUCAAAACAGGUAUAAACCAGUCGUUUCAAGUCGGUACGAUGAAAAACUUCGCUUAUCUAAUUAUUUUAGCCUCAUUGGCAACCGCGAUCAAUGGCAGAGCAGUUCCUAAGGCUUUGGCUGUGCUUACGAAAGGCCUGCACAGAGAGUGUGCCUCCGAGUCAAAAGUUCCAGAAGCUGUGAUUACUAAGGGGCAAAACGGAGAAUUCUCUGAUCAACCGGAGUUCAAGUGCUACCUGAAAUGUUUGUUGGCCAAAUUAGAUUUGAUAUCAGAAUCCAGUGAAGUGGAUUACGACGGAAUGAUAAGGAUGCUUUCACCAGAUAUUAAAGAAACCGGCACUAAAAUGAUCAACGAUUGUCGCGGUACAACUGGAACGGACAGUUGCGACACUGCUUAUAAUCUGAACAUUUGCUUGUACAACUCAAAUCCAGUGGAAUACUUUCUGGUGUAGAAGGAACAUGUUUUUCGUAGAGAUUGUAGAAGCUAGACCGCAUAGCUGUUGAAUAAUCUGCGAUGAGUUCUCGUAGAUAUUAUCCGAUUACUUUAUGUCAAAUAAAUAUCUGAAAUUUCAACUGAGUGUGUUCAUUUAUUUUGGCGCGUCAGGAGUACGGAUGAUUUUUAAACAAAUACUCCUUAUUCUCGGGAAUGAAUCAUGUAUAUUCGACCAGUAUUAGUACUGCAAAACGCGGAAAAAGUUGCGAGUUUCGGGGUUUCCAGUGUAUGUAAAACUGCAGCUUUCACUGAGUCUCGUUAUAAGAGUUUCACAAAUGUGAAUUAAUUUAAAAUAAGGUUUAAAUAAAUUUAUUUAAAAAUG